rnacentral:rRNA from 1 species
UACGUAGGGUGCAAGCGUUGUCCGGAAUCAUUGGGCGUAAAGAGCGCGUAGGCGGCCCUGUAAGUCCGCUGUGAAAGUCAAGGGCUCAACCCUUGGAUGCCGGUGGAUACUGCAGGGCUAGAGUCCGGAAGAGGCGAGUGGAAUUCCUGGUGUAGCGGUGAAAUGCGUAGAUAUCGGGAGGAACACCAGUGGCGAAGGCGACUACCUGGCCUGUUCUUGACGCUGAGGCGCGAAAGCUAGGGGAGCAAACGGG